UUUAACGCUGUUUAACGGAAUGAUGACGCCCCAUGACACUUUGUUUGAGAAAAAAAACGGGAGCAGUCGGAAAUAGAAUAGCGGCGAAUCUCCCAGACUGUGUCACUGAAAUAUUCAUCUGGAUGCGGAGAGACCAUGAGUGUGCUCCAGUGUCAGGCCGACAACAAGGAGGUGGACGGCGGCCUGCUGCCCGACGGCAAAGAAGCCAGCCCGGGCGGACACGAGGCGGAGGGCUCCAAGUGGCAGAGGCCCAGGUUCUCGCGAAAGUCUCUGAUGAGGUGUUGUCUGGUCAAGUGGAUCAUCGCCAGUACGACUCAGCAAGGACCAGACAACAUCGACAUGGACCUGGAGCUCUCCAUGGUGCGCCACCAGCCUGAGGGUCUGGAGCAGCUCCAGGCGCAGACCCAGUUCACCCGGAAGGAGCUUCAGUCCCUUUACAGAGGCUUCAAGAACGAAUGUCCCAGUGGGCUUGUGGACGAGGAAACCUUCAAGACUAUUUACUCACAGUUCUUCCCUCAAGGAGACGCCACCAUGUACGCACAUUUCCUCUUCAACGCCUUCGACAUGGACAGAAACGGCUCCAUCAGAUUCGAGGUCCAGUCCACCGCUACUCCUUCUUAUUAUUUGGCGGUAUCGCUUUUAAUUGGAUUUAAUGAAUCUCCACCAAGACUUUGUGCUGGGCUUGUCCGUGCUGCUUCGAGGCUCUGUCACAGAGAAACUACGCUGGGCGUUCAACCUCUACGACAUCAACAAGGACGGAUACGUCACCAAAGAGGAAAUGAUGGCCAUAAUGACGUCCAUUUACGACAUGAUGGGCAGGUACACCUUACCCAGCGUACGAGAGGACUCCCCUUAUGAACACGUGGAGAAAUUCUUCCAGAAAAUGGAUCGUAACCGAGAUGGAGUCGUGACCGUUGAGGAGUUCAUAGAAACCUGCCAAAAGGACAAAAGCAUUAUGUCUUCCAUGCAACUCUUCGAGAACGUCAUCUAGGAUGGUGGCAACCUCGCGUCACCUUGAGAAAUUAUCUCAUGCAACACACCAGGUGUCACUCAUCACAAUGUAACCUCACCUAUGCAGAGGAAUCGUCGCCAGGCCACGUUCUCUUCGCGUUUGUUCUUUUCAAAGCACAAAACUUCAAAGUCGGCCGUCCACAGAGUAUUAAAAAGCAUGUGAUACUUGACAAAA